AGGACGAACGCUGGCGGCGUGCUUAACACAUGCAAGUCGAGCGGAAAGGCCCUUCGGGUACGUCGAGCGGCGAACGGGUGAGUAACACGUGAGUAACCUGCCCCUACGCUUCGGGAUAGCUCCGGGAAACCGGGAAUUAAUACCGGAUAUGACCACGGCCGACAUCGGCCACGGUGGAAAGAUUCAUCGGCUAGGGAUGGGCUCGCGGCCUAUCAGCUUGUUGGUGGGGUAACAGCCUACCAAGGCGACGACGGGUA
rnacentral:rRNA from 1 species